ACAUAACUGAUGCCUCCGCGUAUCGACUUUGUGCGCAUUUUAGCUAUUAUGUGUUCUUUUAAUUAAAAUGAUUCUUUUUAAGAUUCAUCUAUUAAAAAUUUGCUUCGGCAUAAUUUUUUUUGAUGAUCUUGUUACUUUGAGUAAAUUAGAGUGUUCAAAGCAAACAGAUAUAGCAUUUGUGCGUUUGAAUACUACAGCAUGGAAUAACAAAAUUGAACAAGUCAGAAUUUUUUUGUUCUUUUUUCUUAUUUUGGCUUAGUUACGAUUAAUAGGAGUAGCUUGGGGGCAUUUGUAUUCAGAUGUCAGAGGUGAAAUUCUUAGAUUUUCUGGAGACAAACAACUGCGAAAGCAUUUGCCUAAAAUACUUCCAUUAAUCAAGAACGAAAGUUAAGGGAGUGAAGACGAUCAGAUACCGUCGUAAUCUUAACCAUAAACUAUGCCGACUAGGCUUUGGAUGAAAGAUUUUAAAAUAAGAGUUUUUCUUUUCUCUCCGGAGAUUAGAACUCUUAGAUUGCUUCCUUCAGUGCCUUAUGAGAAAUCAAAGUCUUUGGGUUCUGGGGCGAGUAUUCGCGCAAGCGAGAAAGUUAAAAGAAUUGACGGAAGGGCACCACCAGGCGUGGAGCUUGCGGCUUAAUUUGACUCAACACGGGAAAACUCACUAGUUUAAGACAAGAGUAGGAUUGACAGAUUAAUAGCUCUUUCUUGAUUUCUUGGAUGGUGAUGCAUGGCCGUUUUUAGUUCGUGAAUAUGAUUUGUCUGGUUAAUUCCGAUAACGAACGAGAUCUUAACCUGCUAAUUAGCGGCAAAUACGAUAUAUUCUUAUGUAGAAUUGAAUAUAGUGGAUUUGUUAGAUUUUGAAGAAAAUAUUGGAAUUACGUUAAAUGUGAUUCCUUUCCCUUUUCUACUUAAUUUACAUUUCCAUCUAUUUCUUUUUUGCGUAGGAAUGUAUUUGCUUGAUUGUAAAGCUUCUUAGAGGAACGAUGUGUG
rnacentral:rRNA from 1 species